UUUAAGAAUUACGGAGUAUAGCCGUAUAGGCAUUUGCUUAACCGACUCUAACCUUUAAAUACGGAGAACAAAUUUUCAUUCCAACCUUCAUUCAUCUUUCCCCAAUUCGAGGAACAAAAACGAAUACAGAGAUAGCAAACCGCGCAAAUCAAACUUUUGAUGUUUGGUUCUUUUUCAAUAAACACAAGCCAUACAUAAAUUCAAUACCAUGAAGAGACCCUUAGAGGAAGUUGCCAGUGUGGUUGCCUCUGUUGCGGUGGCUAAUACCAGUUCUAACAAUGCGAAGCCAGUCUUUUUGACUAAAGCGCAGAGAGAGCAGUUAGCUCUGCAAAAAAGGCAAGAAGAAGUUGCCGAACAGAAACGCCGUGCUGAGGAGCUUCUUCAAGGCCGAUCUGCUGAUAUCCGAUCCUCUGAUUCUUCCUAUCAUCGCUCAUCCCGGGACCAUGACCGGGACCGCGAUCGUGACCGUGAUCAUGACCGUAACCGUGACCGAGACAGGGACCGUGUGCGAGAAAGGGAUCGUGACCGGGAGAGGGAUCGUGACAUUGAAAGGAGGAAUCGUGAGAAGGAACGAGAAGAGGAGAGCAAAACUCGGGAUCGGGCAAGGCUAGAGAAGUUGUCUGAAAGGGAGAGGGAAAAGGAACUGGAGCUUAUUAAGGAACAGUAUUUAGGUUCUAAGAAACCUAAGAAGCGUGUGAUUAAGCCCAGUGAGAAGUUUCGCUUCUCUUUUGAUUGGGAGAACACAGAGGACACCUCCCGUGACAUGAAUGCUCUGUAUCAGAAUCCUCACGAGGCUCAGCUCCUGUUUGGUAGAGGUUUCCGAGCUGGAAUAGAUCGUAGGGAGCAGAAGAAGCUAGCUGUCAAAAACGAAGUUGAGUUGCGCGAUGAAAUUCGCAAAAAGGAUGGUACAGAAGAGGGGCCUGAGGAUGCUGCUGCACAACGUCGCCGGGAGCAAGCUGCUGAAUCAUAUGAGGGCCAUGAUAUGAAGGUUGACCGCCACUGGUCUGACAAGAGGCUUGAAGAAAUGACUGAGAGGGACUGGAGAAUUUUCAGGGAAGACUUUAACAUAUCUUACAAAGGAUCUAAGAUUCCCAAGCCAAUGAGAAAUUGGUUGGAGAGUAAACUGACUUCGGAGCUAUUGAAAGCUGUGGAGCGAGCUGGCUACAAGACCCCAUCCCCUAUCCAGAUGGCAGCUAUCCCUUUAGGUCUCCAACAACGAGAUGUCAUUGGCGUUGCAGAGACUGGUUCGGGUAAGACUGCUGCUUUUGUUCUUCCUAUGUUGGCUUAUAUAACUAGGCUGCCACCAAUUACUGAAGAGAACGAGGCUGAGGGUCCUUAUGCUGUGGUUAUGGCCCCUACUCGUGAAUUAGCACAACAGAUUGAAGAGGAGACUGUUAAAUUUGCCCACUAUCUGGGGAUUAAGGUUGUCUCUAUUGUUGGUGGACAAUCCAUUGAGGAGCAAGGAUUCAAAAUUAGACAGGGAUGUGAAAUCGUUAUCGCAACCCCUGGACGUCUCUUGGAUUGUCUGGAAAGACGUUAUGUUGUUCUAAACCAGUGCAAUUAUGUUGUUCUUGACGAGGCUGAUCGAAUGAUAGAUAUGGGUUUCGAGCCCCAGGUUGUCGGUGUGCUAGAAGCAAUGCCUUCAAGUAAUAUGAAGCCUGAGAAUGAAGAAGAGGAGCUUGACGAGAAAAAGAUAUACCGUACCACGUAUAUGUUCAGUGCCACUAUGCCACCUGCUGUAGAGCGGCUUGCCAGGAAGUAUUUGAGGAAUCCUGUGGUGGUGACUAUUGGUACGGCUGGGAAAGCUACUGAGCUCAUCACACAACAUGUGAUCAUGACAAAGGAUUCAGAAAAAACUUAUAAGCUACAAAGACAGCUUGAUGAGUUGGGUGAUAAGACAGCUAUAGUGUUUGUUAACACCAAGAAAACUGCUGACGUGCUUUCCAAAAAUUUGGACAAAUCAGGUUACCGAGUCACGACAUUGCAUGGUGGGAAAUCCCAGGAACAGAGAGAAAUAAGCCUUGAAGGUUUCAGGACCAAGAGAUACAAUGUGAUGGUUGCAACAGAUGUUGCAGGACGUGGUAUUGAUAUACCUGAUGUUGCUCAUGUGAUAAAUUAUGAUAUGCCUGGGAAUAUAGAGAUGUACACACAUCGUAUUGGUCGUACUGGAAGAGCUGGGAAAACUGGUGUAGCGACAACAUUUUUGACUUUGCAUGACACUGAUGUCUUUUAUGAUCUGAAGCAGAUGCUUACUCAGAGUAAUAGUCCUGUUCCACCUGAACUUGCAAGACAUGAAGCAUCAAAGUUCAAACCUGGAUCAAUUCCUGAUAGACCUCCCAGGCGCAAUGAGACUGUUUUUGUGCAUUGAUGAUUUUGCUUAAUGUGGCUGUUGUUUUUGUGCAUUGAUGAUCUUGCUUCUUCAAGACAGAUUUCUGAUAGAGUUUCUCUGGCACGAACUUGAAUGUCUAGGAUUUCUGCAUUGGAAUUUCAUCAGGGACAAGACUCAAGAGGUUGGAGCUGAAACAAUGUACACAUGAAUCAUGAUGUAAUUAAGCAGGUAGGUAUGGGGUAAUAUGUCGCUGUUUACCAACGAUGUAGCCUCCCUCUUACGUACAAUGGUGUAAGCUACUCCGUAUAACUUUAUAAGUAGUAAAAUAAAAUGAGAGUGAGUGUGUGAGUGAGUGAGUGAGUGGUAAGAUUGUUUAGGUCAUGCACUUGGGUUGAGAUAUUUUGAUUCAUGUUGGGGUUGUCCUGUAACUGUUUGGGUUUGUUAUUUCCCAUCACCAAUUAUUUUUAAUCAUUUUUUUAUUUUUGUCGUCUUUACGAUUAUGCUUAUUAUCAUCUGCACUUCUCCAGUACACUUUUGCUUUCGUCGGUCAAAUUUUACGGCAACUUUGCUCUAUUUUUCUCUCUUUAUUCUUUUGGCUACUUUCUAUAAUUGUACAUUGUUUUUAACUUUGUUACUCCCCAUUUCAUUUUAUACUAUUUUAGGGUUUUGUCUU